UACGUAGGUCGCAAGCGUUAUCCGGAAUUAUUGGGCGUAAAGAAUGCGUAGGUGGUUUGAGAAGUUGUCCGUUAAAUCUCCAGGCUCAACCUGGAACAUGCGGACAAAACUCUCAAACUGGAGUAUAACAAGGACAAGUGGAAUUCCCGGUGUAGGAGUGAAAUCCGUUGAUAUCGGGAGGAACACCAAUGGCGAAGGCAGCUUGCUAGGUUAAUCUGACACUGAGGCAUGAAAGCGUGGGGAGCGAACGGG
rnacentral:rRNA from 1 species